rfam:Streptococcus sp. DD12 genomic scaffold scaffold00001, whole genome shotgun sequence.
GGUUUUGAAUAAAACUGACCUAAGACAGUAGGGGAACGCUUGUUCAUAAGAUUCCUACCGAGGCACAAAACGUUUAUGAUCUAAUAACGUAUUGUACUUUCGUGUCUGGGUUUGGAUACGAUUUUUUUCGUUCCAG